AGUGAACGCUGGCGGUAGGCCUAACACAUGCAAGUCGAACGGCAGCACAGUAAGAGCUUGCUCUUACGGGUGGCGGGUGGCGGACGGGUGAGGAAUUCAUCGGAAUCUACUUUUUCGUGGGGGAUAACGUAGGGAAACUUACGCUAAUACCGCAUACGACCUACGGGUGAAAGCAGGGGAUCUUCGGACCUUGCGCGAUUGAAUGAGCCGAUGUCGGAUUAGCUAGUUGGCGGGGUAAAGGCCCACCAAGGCGACGAUCCGUAGCUGGUCUGAGAGGAUGAUCAGCCACACUGGAACUGAGACACGGUCCAGACUCCUACGGGAGGCAGCAGUGGGGAAUAUUGGACAAUGGGCGCAAGCCUGAUCCAGCCAUACCGCGUGGGUGAAGAAGGCCUUCGGGUUGUAAAGCCCUUUUGUUGGGAAAGAAAAGCAGCAGGUUAAUACCCCGCUGUUCUGACGGUACCCAAAGAAUAAGCACCGGCUAACUUCGUG
rnacentral:rRNA from 1 species